AUGGCGCCGGGGUCUAUGAGGCCGAGUAGCCUGAGGGGACGGUGUCCCCGGCGGGCGGGGGCCGAACGGCUGCCUGGGGUCCGUGGAGGAGCCCGUGCACGCGGCCCCCGAGUCUCUGCCCACGACGGGCCGGGAGCAUCCCGACGUCCCCAGGGGCCGCCCAGGGCCACCUCCCAGGCGCGAGUUGAAAUGCUCGGGCUCAGACCCGCCCGCGCCGCCUGCGUCCCAGGCCACGUGUCCCCCAGUUGCAGGGGCCGCGUGUGCGCCUUGACCUCUGGGAGCACCUGCCCUGCGCCGUGCCCGGUCCCGCUGUCGGCGCUCCUGUCGCUACAGAUUCUUCUCCAGAAUUCCCUCUGGGUGAUGAAACGUGUCUCCAUGGAAACACCUCGAGGGUGGAUUACCUGGGCUCUUUUAAAUUGCACUGAAAAGAACGUGGCAGGUGCAGAAUUGCCUUCCAGAACCUUCCAGCUCAGCCUGGCCAGCAGCUGGAAGCAGCUGAGGGAGUGACCCAGCCAGGCCAGGUGGAGCAGAGAGCCACCAGCGGGGCCCCGCCCGAAAUCUGACCCCAGGACUGUGGGGAGUCAGGAACCACUGACAUUUGAAGCCACAACCCUUUUGGAAGGUCUGUCCUGCAAGAAGAGAUAACCGACUCAGAGGGGGCACAGGCGGACUGGCCUGGAGAGUCACCAGCAGGGAGGAGCUCUCAGGUAAGGCUGUCAUCUCCCUGGACCCGGAUCCCCUCCCACUCAGCUGGUCAGCUACAGCUCUGGGGGGCGGGGUCACCCUGUGCACGCCCCCUUCUCCAGGAGGUGCUCUGUGGCCCUCCUGGCAGUGACCUUUGGAUUCCGAUUCAGCUUUAAUGAGUCCUCCUAACAGCGUGCGGUGACGUGUCAAAAUUACUUUCUCCACCUGACGCGGAAGGUUUGAUCUUUGAUUCCUCCUUAUCCCCAGGACGCCUAAGGGCACGGCGAUGUCUUGAUUCAUCUGUGGUUUAACACGGGGAUCUCCCAGUGUGGGGAGUUGCAUUCUGUGUCACACGUGCAACAGUGCGGCCCACCUAGUGUCUCCCUAAUUCCCCUGCUGUGUUUACACUGACAAGAUGUCUCUUAACUCCCUGCAGUGUCUACACUGAUGAGGGAUGUCUCUCGAUUUCCUGUACUGUGUCUGCACUGACCUUGGGUGUCUCCCUGUUCCCCUGCCGUGUCUCUGCUGGGAUAUCUAAUACCCCUGAUGUGUUAUACUGACCUAGGGUGUCUUUCCCCAGGUUAGAAUGAAGGGAGCAGGAGCACAUCCCUAUUCUUGCUCUGUCUGCAAUGACCAAGGCCUCCCUAGUUUCGUGGUAAGUCGACAAUGACCUGGGCUUCUGCCCUGCAUCCCAAGGUGUGUCUACACUGGUGUGGCCCGGCUGUCUCCCUGGUCCCCCAAGUGGGUCUCUACUGGCCUGGAGCAUCUUCCUUGUCACCCUCCUGUGAUUCAGUGAAUAGAAUGUCUUCACGGUUUCCCUGAC
rnacentral:lncRNA from 1 species